CAGGUCUCCUAAAGCAAGGGCAAGGCCCUCUUCAGUGAAAGGAAAAUUCGUACACACAACUUCUGGAACUUUUUUCUUUUUUUUGUUGUGCUUUUUUUUUUUCCCUUUUUUUUGUUGUGUUUUUUUUUUUUUUUCCUUUAACCAACGGCUGUCCUCAGCCUGCAUGUGACUGUUGCAAUAGAAUUACUCCAAAUCCAUGGAAAAACAGUAUUAACAUCAGUUGAUCAAAGCAGAAUAAAAUUUUAAAAUAAUCUAAUCUAUCAGUUAUCCUGUUCACAAUCCUCUGUGUCUUCCCAUUAACUUUUGCCAGUGUUAUUGUAUUAAAAAAAAUUUUUUUAAUGCUGAUUAAAAAGGUAUGCUUUAAGCUUCAGAAGUUAAAAUAUAAAUUCUGUUGCUUUAAUUCAGCUGCAGAUAACAUUACUUUUUUUAUUGCUGUUUUGUUUGAGUAUCAUGUCCUUCGCUAGAAGCAAGAAGUGAUGUGAAACAAGGCUGAACUAGUCUGAACUGCAGUGAGGCUCGUUCACUGUGUUGGUGGUUCAUCACCUUAUUUACAGCUUGUUUGGGAUAUUCUGGAGAUUGAGAAAUAUGCCUAUAAAAAAAAAAAAAAAAAAGCUGGAUCGAUCCAGUUCUGUAAAAGUGAUAUUGUUCAUUGGUUGUAUGUUUGUUGCAUAAAUAAGAAUUUGGUGUGCGCAGCAGAGGGCUGGUACAACCAGUGCCUCUUUAAUGUGGAAGACAGCCCUUUCAGGGUAGCAUUGCUGACCUGGUGAAUAGUGUGGCAGUCUGCUUUCUGGCAGCAGAGUUAAUGGUCACUUGAUGGACGUGAACCAUCCUUGUCACCUUUCGUUCUUCAAGCAGGAUGCUUCAGAAUGGAGUGCUCUGCCCAAGCAUGCUCAUGACCAUCUCUUAGCUGAGCACAACGUGCCGUCUCAUCCCAAAAUGCUUUUCUGGCACAGCCAGCCUGAACACUACCACCAUCACCAGUAUCCCACCAGUAACAGCAGCUACCUGCGGUAAGAAAAGAACGGGCGGGGGAUUUUAAAUUAUGAUAAUGCUGUAAGACACAAGAAUGCAGACUGCACAGCCUUUGUUAAUGCAAAGGCUAACUAUUUGAGUUCAAGCCUUCAAAUAGAGCCGGUGAUCGCAGGCCCUUUGAGAACAGUUUGAGCAGGACAGUCAGCCCAGUGGAGAUUGUGCUGUAACUCCACGAUUUUCACAAACCAUGCCCUGUGUGUGCCAGUACCGGCCAUAGGAAAGUUUUACUGUUUCAUGCCACAUCCACAGUUGUGCUAAAUUUUUUUUUUGUUUCUUUCUCAAAUUACGUUCACAAUCUGUAGAUAAAACUUGGUUCACGUGAAGUAAUACAGAUUUGUAAAUUUAUACCUUGGUGUUUCGUGUCUGCUGUGAUUAUCUGCUGAAGCUCAGCUGACCUGCAGGAUCAGGACGAUGGGCUGCCUGUCCCAUCAGCCCGGGCACGCUGGCUAAACGCCUCGCCUUGAAAUUCUGAUGCAAUAUACAGCUAAUUGCAUCAGCACAUUCCUGUGAGCUACGGACUUACUUUACCUCUUCGUGACUAAAAUACUAUUUGUGUACAGUAUUCAAAUUUUUCUUAUAAUUAAAAAUGAUUAUGCUUUGACAAGUGCUGAGCUCGGAGAUCCCAGAUAAUCUUGACGCUAAUGGAGUUUCAAUUUAUAGUGUGGUUCGCUCUCUGUAUUAAACUUUCGCUUAUUACUUUUUGGCUA
rnacentral:lncRNA from 1 species